CUUCAACGACCCCAACCACAACGGCUUGUCGGGAUCACGGUCCUGGCCGUACGUGGCCAGCAGCGCCUGCGCCUC
rnacentral:antisense_RNA from 1 species